UACGUAGGGUGCAAGCGUUUGUCCGGAAUUAUUGGGCGUAAAGAGCUCGUAGGCGGUCUGUCGCGUCGAAUGUGAAAACCCGGGGCUCAACUCCGGGCCUGCAUUCGAUACGGGCAGACUAGAGUUCGGUAGGGGAGUCUGGAAUUCCUGGUGUAGCGGUGAAAUGCGCAGAUAUCAGGAGGAACACCGGUGGCGAAGGCGGGACUCUGGGCCGGUACUGACGCUGAGGAGCGAAAGCGUGGGGAGCAAACAGG
rnacentral:rRNA from 1 species